AUCAGUGGAUCCGGCGGGAAGUUCCCCGCCGGGUAGACCUCUACCCGUGCCUAUCUACUCUUGUUGCUUUGGCGGGCCGUGGCCUCCACUACGGGCUCUGCUCGUACGUGCCCGCCAGAGGACCAAACUCUGAAUUUUAGUGAUGUCUGAGUACUAUUUAAUAGUUA
rnacentral:misc_RNA from 1 species